rnacentral:lncRNA from 1 species
GCUCCUUCAAAACCAGUCUAUUCUGUGGGUCCCCGUGGACUUUUUUAAUGAAUCCCCAAAAUGAAUGGCAAUGCAUGCGCCUCCUGGGAUCACCUGGCUCCUGAGGACCUUUGAUGCAACUACUUGGUUGCAGGUUGAGCUCAAGGAGAAGAUUACAGAUGUAACUCAGCAUGGACGCUCCCCUAAGAAGCCAUCCCUGACAGAACCCAAUGCCUUGAGGUCAUCCCUUCUUCCUUGUAUUACCUUGCACCCUGUAUACACUUUAAUCAUUGCUCUUAUCACGCUGAAGUGUCAUUAUUUACACACUUGUGCUUUUUUCUGCCAGAUUAUGAAUUCCAUGAAAAAAGAGAUUGUGCUUUCUGCAUCUCUAGCCAAGCAUCUGCCACAUGUAGAGACAAGAUUUCACCAUGUUGUCCAGGAUGGUCUCCAUCUCCUGACCUUGUGAUCUGCCCGCCUUGGCCUCCCAAAGUGCUGGGAUUACAGACUCCUGGAGGCACCAAGACAACACAGCUUAACAUUGGUGAGAAGAACAAUGGCAGACUUGAGGACCUCUGUGUCAUUGUCAGCUAUUGGCUUCACCCUGUUGAUUGAGCUUGACAAGCCUUCUCGCUCAAGCAACUGACCAGUGCCAGCAAACAGCUGGUACGUCCAGUUUUUGUUUUUAGGCCUUUUAAUUGGUCUAAUUCUUUGAAUAAAUGGAAUCAGUGGGUUGUUUAACUUACUAAUCAAGCAUCAAACAUUAUUAAAGGGACAGCUACAAGCCCUAAACUGUGCUUGGCUUUCUGGACAGAUAUAAAAAUAA